ACCCAAUAUAUGUGUGUAGUUGGAAGAGGAAUAAACUAUUAAUAAGAACUCAAGCAAAAUUGAGAGAUAAAGAAAACACAUGUUGAAGGGUAAUACUGUAACUAUCACUCAGGUCAUUUAGUCUGACAGGUACUGUUUGGUAAUUUAGGUUUAGGGUCAUUUAGUCUGACAGGUACUGUUGGUCAUUUAGUCUCCCUUCUGUUCAACGUCCCUUGCCUGCGAAGUGGAGUUUCUAGAUAGAGAGAAACUAGAGAGAGAGAGAGAGAGAGAGAGAAACUAGAAGAGAGGAGAGCAAAAGGAUAAAGAAAGGAACAAUACAAAUGACAAGUUGAUAAACAGAGCACUCUACUUUCUUCCAUAUUCUGCCCUCAAAUCUUGUACCUCAAAAAAGCUCACUUUCGAAAAAGUGCUUCUUCUUCUUCUUCCACAUUCUUUCAUGGGUUUUGCUUCAGAAAGCUGAUUGUUUUGGAAGCAGAGGAGAAUUGGGGAAGAAGAAGAAGAAGAUGUCUUGGAAAAGCAGAGGAGGCCCAUCAUCAUCUAGAAGUUUUAUUUCUCAGAAAUGGACCUUUUUUCUCUGUUUAAGCUGCUUCUGUGCCGGAAUGCUCUUCACCAAUAGAAUGUGGACUGUACCAGAAAGUAAAGGUAUCACACGAAGAACAGCUAUGGAAGAAGAAAAAUUAAAUUUAGUUUCAGAGGGUUGCAAUCCGAAAUCUUUGAAUCAGAAGGAGGUGAAGCGCGAAGAUAAAGACAUUUUUGGGGAGGUUUAUAAGACUCAUAAUGCUAUACAGACAUUAGAUAAGACUAUUUCAAAUUUAGAGAUGGAGUUAGCUGCAGCAAGGGCAACACAGGAGUCGAUACGUAGUGGCUCUCCUUUAUCAGGUGACUCGAAGACUGAUUCAACUGGGAAGAGAAGGUAUCUGAUGGUUGUUGGAAUUAAUACUGCUUUUAGCAGCCGGAAAAGAAGAGAUUCAGUUCGUGCUACGUGGAUGCCACAAGGCGAGAAACGAAAGAGGCUGGAGGAAGAGAAGGGCAUCAUCAUUCGCUUUGUCAUUGGUCAUAGUGCCGCGUCAGGAGGUAUUCUAGAUAGAGCUGUUGAAGCAGAGGACAGAAAGCAUGGAGAUAUCCUGAGGCUGGACCAUGUUGAAGGGUACCUCGAAUUGUCAGCCAAGACAAAGAUUUAUUUUGCUACUGCUGUUGCUACGUGGGAUGCAGAUUUUUAUGUCAAAGUUGACGAUGAUGUCCACGUAAAUAUUGCGACGCUAGGAGAAACACUAGUCAGACACCGAAAGAAAAAGCGCCUGUACAUUGGAUGCAUGAAAUCUGGUCCUGUUCUAGCACAAAAGGGAGUGAGAUACCAUGAACCUGAGUAUUGGAAAUUUGGUGAGCCAGGAAACAAGUACUUCCGUCAUGCUACAGGACAGCUGUAUGCGAUAUCAAAAGAUUUGGCUACGUAUGUAUCAAUAAACCAGCAUGUCCUACACAAGUACGCUAAUGAGGAUGUCUCAUUGGGAUCUUGGUUUAUUGGACUCGAUGUACAGCAUAUUGAUGAUCGGAGACUAUGUUGCGGCACCCCACCCGAUUGUGAGUGGAAGGCGCAGGCGGGCAACAUCUGUGUUGCUUCAUUUGAUUGGAGCUGCAGUGGGAUUUGUAAGUCAGCCGAGAGAAUCAAGGAAGUCCACCGCCGGUGCGGGGAAGGCGAAAACGCCUUGUGGAGUGCUAGAUUCGAAUAGGCAGCUCGAACAUCUUCCAACCUAGGGAAGAUUUUCGAGCUUAAGUAUAAAGGCAGGUGUUUUUUCUUAGUUCAUUUUCCUCCUGUAUUGAGUAUAGAGAAUUACAACACCAAAAAAUAGAGUUUAGAGAGAGAGUGUGUGUGUGUGUGUGUGUGUGUGUGAGAGAGAGAGAGAGAGAGAGAGGUUGCUGUGUGGACCAUCUCCAUUUUAGUAGAGGAUAUUGGCCACAAAGCAGCUGCUAAAUUGAAAAUUGAGGGGUCCCCAACCCAUACAAUUCUGAGAGGCUUGAAGAGCCAAACUUUAUCUUGUGACUCAUCUGACACCAUCCGUGGCUCCACCGCCUCUUGUUUUUGGAAGUCUCUUGCAUGUCGCCUACGGCAAUAUGUAUAUCGCCGUGUGAGGUAGAGCACUCACACGGUAGGAAUAUACAUCUCUUGUGACACCCUAGUGUGUCUCUUUGUUC